AAGUAGGGGAUCGCAAGACCUUGCGCUUUUGGAGCGGCCGAUGUCUGAUUAGCUAGUUGGUGAGGUAAAGGCUUACCAAGGCGUCGAUCAGUAGCUGGUCUGAGAGGACGACCAGCCACACUGGGACUGAGACACGGCCCAGACUCCUACGGGAGGCAGCAGUGGGGAAUUUUGGACAAUGGGGGAAACCCUGAUCCAGCCAUGCCGCGUGAGUGAAGAAGGCCUUCGGUUGUAAAGCUCUUUCAGCCGGAACGAAAAGGUCACGGCUAAUACCUGUGAUCACU
rnacentral:rRNA from 1 species